rnacentral:rRNA from 1 species
UGAGGAAUAUUGGUCAAUGGGCGCGAGCCUGAACCAGCCAAGUAGCGUGAAGGAUGACUGCCCUAUGGGUUGUAAACUUCUUUUGUCCGGGAAUAAAACCGCCUACGUGUAGGCGCUUGUAUGUACCGGUACGAAUAAGCAUCGGCUAACUCCGUGCCAGCAGCCGCGGUAAUACGGAGGAUGCGAGCGUUAUCCGGAUUUACUGGGCGUAAAGGGUGCGUAGGCGGUCUUUCAAGUCAGGAGUUAAAGGCUACGGCUCAACCGUAGUAAGCUCCUGAUACUGUCUGACUUGAGUGCAGGAGAGGAAAGCGGAAUUCGUGGUGUAGCGGUGAAAUGCUUAGAUAUCACGAAGAACUCCGAUUGCGAAGGCAGCUUGCUAAAGUGUAACUGACGUUCAUGC